rnacentral:rRNA from 1 species
AUACGUAGGGGGCAAGCGUUAUCCGGAUUUACUGGGUGUAAAGGGAGCGUAGACGGCAAAGCAAGUCUGAAGUGAAAGCCCCGGGCUCAACCCGGGAAUUGCUUUGGAAACUGUUUAGCUAGAGUGCAGGAGAGGUAAGCGGAAUUCCUAGUGUAGCGGUGAAAUGCGUAGAUAUUAGGAGGAACACCGGCGGCGAAGGCGGCUUACUGGACUGUAACUGACGUUGAGGCUCGAAAGCGUGGGGAGCAAACAGGAUUAGAUACCCUGGUAGUCCACGCCGUAAACGAUGAUUACUAGGUGUUGGUUGUCAUAGACAAUCGGUGCCGCAGCAAACGCAAUAAGUAAUCCACCUGGGGAGUACGUUCGCAAGAAUGAAACUCAAAGGAAUUGACGGGG